rnacentral:lncRNA from 1 species
UGUUGCCCAGCUAUGCAACCCAAGAGGGGGGGGUGAAUUGGAUUUCUAAAAAUUUUAAGCCCAACAGAUUACUUAUGAAGAACAAAACAAAGACUUUAAUUCAAUAUUAAUUACCUAAAGCAGGAAUGCAAGAAUAUAAUAAAGAAAUAAAGUGAAGCGAUAAAGCACACCACAAACACAAGGAUUUAUAGUGGUUCAGUGCUAACCUUGCACCUACAUCCACUCCCCAAGCUCCUACUUGGGAAUUUCAAUCCACUAUGCUUGUAUUCAACCUGAAUACA